rnacentral:rRNA from 1 species
CGCGUAGGCGGUUUGAUAAGUCGGAUGUGAAAGCCCCGGGCUCAACCUGGGAACUGCAUUCGAAACUGUCUGACUAGAGUAUGGUAGAGGGAAGUGGAAUUUCAGGUGUAGCGGUGAAAUGCGUAGAUAUCUGAAGGAACAUCAGUGGCGAAGGCGACUUCCUGGACCAAUACUGACGCUGAGGUGCGAAAGCGUGGGGAGCAAACA